rnacentral:rRNA from 1 species
GAUGAACGCUGGCGGCGUGCCUAAUACAUGCAAGUCGAGCGAACAGACGAGGAUCGGGCUCCUCUGACGUGAGCGGCGGACGGGUGAGUAACACGUGGAUAACCUACGUAUAAGACUGGGAUAACUGCGGGAAACCGGAGCUAAGACCGGAUAAUAUAUUGAACCGCAGGGGUCAAGAGUGAAAGACGGUUUUGCUGUCACUUAUAGGUGGAUCCGCGCCGCAUUAGCUAGGUGGUAAGGUAACGGCUUAACAAGGCAACGAUGCGUAGCCGACCUGAGAGGCGGAUCGGCCACACUGGAGCGGGGACACGGACCAGACUCCUACGGGAGGCAGCAGUAGGGAAUCUUCCGCAAUAGGCGAAAGCAUGACGGAGCGACGCCGCGCCAGAGAUGAAGGCCCUCGGAUCGUAAAAAUCUGUUAUUAGGGAAGAACAACUGUGUAAGUAAACAUGGCCGUGUUGAAGGUAACUAAUCAGAAAGCCACGGCCAAAUAAGUGC